UGUUACUGCUGCGCCACAAUGGGGACCUCCCAGCUUCUUUAAAGUGGAUCAGAAAACACGGAUUUACAUGCCUUCACCAUCCUGGUUGCCUGGUUAACAACAGGCUUAGCAUGUCUGGGCCUCAGUUUCCCCAUCUGUAAAAUAAAGAGGUUUGAUUUCAUGAUCUUUAAGGUCAUUUUAAUGCCAACGUUCUGUGUUAAACUCGGGAACCCCUGCAAAGAUGUCCACAUACAUUUCUGAGCAGGGGACGUCCCCCUCCCCUAAAUGUUCCUGUCACGUUUAUCUGCUGACGGUAGAAAAUGGAGACAUUUAUUUAUUCAAUUUCUCUUCCUCCAACAAACAGUUUCUGAGGGCCACGAUGUUCCAGGUAAGACCCAUCAAGGGUCUCCUGUUCUAUUCCCAGCUCUGGCAGGAAGCAGGCAGGGAGAGUGGAUUGGGUGCCUGGGGGACCCUGUAGCAUCCAUGGGAGCUUGUACCUGUGCCAAGCGCAUUUUAAAAAGGAUGCGACUCCCAGGCCAGACUGCUCAUUGCUUUCUCCUGGACCUAAGUCUGUCAGCAAAUCUGGUUGGCAGGCACCUCUGCUACUUGAAUUUUGCAGAGACCAGCCUCAUUGAACUCACCCAAACACUGUCAACAUGUGAAGGCAGGGUGGAGAGAAUGCAAAUACUAAUGAGGAUUGUGAGAUAUCAAAUUCCACAGAGUCUGGUAGGAACACUGCUUUGACUUCUCUUUAAAAGAAAGCCUAGCUAGGAGUUCCUACUGUGGCUCAACAGGAUUGAUGGCAUCUUGGGAGGGAGCACUGGGACACAGGUUUGAUCCCUGGGUGGGCACAGUGGGUUAAGGAUCUGUUGUUACCACAGCCGUGGUUUAGGUCGCAACCGCGGCUUGAUUCUGAUCCUUGGCCAGGGAACUCCAUAUUCCAAGGAGUGGCCACAAAAGGAAAGAAAAGAAAACCUAGCUCUUGUGUGUUAAUUCAUUUCAGCCUCUCAAUAUAAGCCCGUGCAGUAGAGAUUGUCACCUUUGUUUUAAUGAAUGGGGAAACUGAUGAGAAGCUGCAAGUUUUAGAACUUGCCCAGGGUACUAGUUUCUAAAGGUGGAGCCAGGGUUAUGGACUUAGGCUGCCAAGCUUUACGGGCACUGCUCUUUUAAAAAAUUUUUAUUUAUUUAUAUUAUUUAGUCUUUUGACCUUUUAGGACCGCACCC
rnacentral:lncRNA from 1 species